GAGGGGGAGACGCCUCUGGGGAGACGUCCAAGGUGGAGCCAGCGGAGAGAGAGGCGUGGAGGCCGGUGCCUGCGGGUUUGGCCUGGGCAGCGGGAGUGUGGAGGGACUGUUUCCUGGAGCGGGAAAGGCGAAGGGGCUGGUUGCGGUGAAUGUGGGGCUGGGAAGGCCAGCUGGCUCCCUGGACAUGCGGGAAAGUGAAGAGAGAGGCUCCCAGGAGAGGGUGGUCCGGGGACAUGGCGUUGGGCACCCCUGCUGGCACUGGAGGAGGCACCAGGGAGAAAGUGUUGUUGGAGCUGAGGACAAAUCAAGCAGCCCGCCCGGACGGUGGCCGCAUUUGCUGAACAUUUGGAAUUCCAGGAAAGGGCCGGGGGCCUGGAGGAGGACCCAGGUGAGUAGCCUGAGGCCAGAGAGCAGUAGGAACCUGUGGCCUCCCAACCCUUGUCUUCUCCUGCAAAGAACAGAGGAUUGGGAUUCACGCCAGAAGGUACAGAAAUGGCCAACACAGACGAGAUGCCUCAAGUCUAGGUUAUGCGCAUGGAAUCACAUGGUAUCAUUCCUCAUUUCUGGAGUAAAAGGCAAGAAUACUGACAACAAGCAGUGCCGGGCAGCUGUGGGACAGGUGGAGCCCCCAUGGACCCUGCUUCUGGCGUGCAGUUUGUCAAUAUGACACUCAAAAUUCUGCGGAAGCUUUGAUCCAGUGACUUACCUCGAAUAAUUUAUCUUCAUUUUUUAAAAUUUAUUUAUUUAUUGAGACAGGGUCUCGCUCUGCCACCCAGGCUGGAGUGCAGUAGCACGAUCGCAGCUCACUGCAGCCUUGACCUCCGGACUCAAGCAAUCCUCCUGCCUCAGCAUCCCUCAAAUAGUGCAACCACAGGUGUGCACCAACACACCCAGCUACUUUUUAAAUUUUUUUGGAAAGAUGGGGUCUCACUAUGUUGCCCAGGCUGAAUUUAUCUUUAAAGGGCACGAAUAAGAUGAGUGGACAAAGAAGACCCAGUUAUGUCAUGGGGAAACCUGGAAGCCACCCCAAGAGCACAGCUUUGCAAGUGGAUGAGAGUUCCAAUCUCAGCCCAGCUGUGUGAUUCUGGGCAACUGUCCUAACCUCUCUGAACUUCAGUUUCCUCAUCUGUAAGGUGGGAAUAAUGGCAAUACCCAACCCCUCCAGGGCCGUCUGAGGAAGACAUAAGACUACAUGGGUAGAAUGCUUACCUUUAGGCACACAAGAGACAAUUUAUAUAAAGGAAAAAGUUGGUGGUCCCAUAUGAUGGAUUAUUAAACAGCUUUACAAAUAAA